CCCCUCUUUGCCUCCAGUAUUGCAGGCAGCAGCAAAAUGACCCCUUUGCAUAAAACACCUCAAGACACUAGAGGGCUUGGUAAACCUAGCGCUGCGAGACCGUAACUUAACGAGAUGCAUGAGUCUCCGGAUGCCGGUUUCAACUAGCAAGCCAGCACAGAAACGCAUCAGCGAUUGCAUUUUAUAUGAUCGACAAAUCUGCUUUGAAGAAGGGCAGGGGUGAGGUGGCCAAGAGGGCGAGCUGAAUUACCUCUCGCUUCUUCAGAAGCGGUAGUGGAGGUCAGGAAGGAGGCAGCAUGAGACUGCUGUGGCGCAGAGCCCGGCACACAUUAAAGCAGCCGACAGGACUUUAUGUGUCUUAAAGGCAAUUAAACAGAGAAGGUUUGGGAGGGUGCUGUGGGGUUGCUCUUCACUUGUUAGGUUUUUGUUUGUUUGUUUGUUUGUUGCUGAUUUGUUUGUUUGGUUUUGUCUCCCUAGGCUUUGGUGAAAGGAAAGAUAAAAGGAGAUUGCUCUGAUACCUGCAGUUAUUGCACACAGGCAGGUUUUUGUGCCCAGUGAGUGAAAAGACAAAUUCUCCAUUUUGGCUAUUUUUCCUGGAAUAAAACCAAGCUUUAAAGGAAUAGAUCCAGGUCCUCAGGUCACAGAAAUUCAAACAGCACCAAGGGAAAGUGAGAUUUUACACCAGUUUGCACACAUGUAAACAACUUCUGUUCAUGUAAACAACUUCCUACUGAUUUCAGGAGGCCCCCAUCAUGAGCCACAGCACACUACAACUACAGGGAAGAAAAAAAAAAAAAAAAGAAAAACACCAGAAAGUUUGUGCCUAAGCACCAGGCUGAUUCAGAUGGCAUUAAAAAUGAAGACAGAUGAAAAGGACAAACAGUUUUUCCCUGUCCCCGCUCCCAGUAGGACACGGUGAGUAACAGCCCACCAUGGGCUGAGGGCUGGAGCAUCCCUGCCACCACCACGCUGACAUUGGCACCAGAGAGCAGCAUGGUCCAGCCUGGGUGAGGACUGCCAAGGAUGUGCCCCUGGACAGUAGGAAGCU
rnacentral:lncRNA from 1 species